rnacentral:lncRNA from 10 species
CGACAGGCUUCUUAUGGCUGUGGUGUCUCUCGCUGCGUGGGGGGCGCGUGGGAGGGCGCGAGGGUGCCAGGAAGAAGGAUGCGGACCCUGCGGCUUUGCUGAACUGACACCGGCCUCCCAGCCUGCACCCUGACGGCAGCAUCUCCAGGUCACUGUGCAGGGGUCACAGCCUGAGCCCAGCCCUGCUGUGAGCACCUGGGGCUCCGAGGAACGGGCGCCGGCGAAGGCUUGGGGCCCCCUGGCGGCCAGUCGGGCCCUCACCCUCGGCCUGGAAGCUGGGCCCUUUCCAUCCGUGAGGUUAACUCUUCCAGUCCUGGCCUCGGAGUCCACCUGGAUCUCCCCGAAAUGCGUGAGGGGGCUUCCACCCACGCGCUCACACCCAGGCUUGGCAAGGGUCCCAAAGACUCGAGGGCCGCAGCGCCAACCGUUUCUACCCACCCAGAAAGAGGCUUGGAUCAUCUCACGAAAAGCAGGUGCCACCCGAGGCUUCCUUGAGCCAUGGGAUCCCCCAGGAUGAGCUGCCUUCCAGAAAGUUUUGAGACCUUCGACCACUGGCCCUGAGCACUCAGUGGCUACGGAAUCCCACAUCCAGAUGGCAACCCAGCCAUGAGGGGUGUGGGCACAGAACUGCCCUUCGUCAGAACUUUGGGGAAACAGUCCUUAGCCCCCACCCCGAGAUGCACCUUCCCCUAAGUCCAGCUGGAGCGAGGAUGUCCCCCCCGUGGCCACGGCACAAAUACGCCCAGUGCCUAAACACCAGCAUGGGAGGACCCAAAACACCACCGCACACAAACCCCAUCAGGCGACAGCACUGCCUCCCCACAGCCAAAACAACCACGGGGAAGCGACAUUCUCUGGAAAUCCCAGCAGAAGUGAGCCCGACACGCGGACCCUCAAGACUGCGGAGGAGAGAGGAAGAACUCAAAUUCACGGUGUGGCUGCUGUACACAGGCGCCGGGCACGUGGCGUGUGAGGUCUCCUCAGCAAGCCUGUGCACCGAGUGCUAGCAGGAGGCUCGGAGGUUAAGUAAAGCACACAGGCCACACGCCAGCAGGUGCUGGGCCCAGAACACGGACCCCGCUCUGCUUGACUGUGGGGGUCUCCUCUCCUCCACAGGUGCUGCGAGCCUCCCUGCCUGGGGGGAGGUGAGAGGAGAUGAGUGACACGGGAUGGGGGAGGCAGUAGGAUGCACCGUGCAUGUGCACUCACAUACAGGCACACGGACACACGUGUGCACAGAGACCCGGGCAUGCAUACACAGGAACACAUGCACACAGACACAGGCACACGGAUACACAUGUGUGCACAAAGAUGCAGGCAUGCACAUACAGGUACACGGACACGUGUGUGCACAGACACGGGCAUGCACACACAGGCACACUGUAAAAGGAAAAUAUCUUGAGACCCAAAAUCACUAAAGGAAAGAGUCAAGCUGGGAACUGCUUAUGGCAAACCUGCCUCCCAUUGUAUUCAAAGUCCUCUCAGUGAGCCCUCUGUUCACUGAGAUAAAUGCUUAUCUGAUUGCCUCCUCUGGAGAGACUCAUCAGAAACUCAAAAGAAUGUAACCAUUUGUCUCUCAUCUUCCUAUGACCUGGAAGCCCCCUCCCGCCUUUCCAGACCGAACCAGUGUUCAUCUUACAUAUGCUGAUUGAUGUCUCAUGGCUCCCUAAAAUGUGUAAAACCAAACUGUGCGGCGACCACCUGUCAUCAGGACCUCCUGAGGCUGCCACGGACUCGCGUCCUCAACCUCAGCAAAAUAAACUUUCUAAAUUAACUGGUACCUGCCUCAGAUAUCAGGGUUCAC